UUAUCAGUAUGAAAUGAAUGUAUCCCAACUUUUCCAUUGAAGGCAGUGCAUUAGAAGCUCUGCCAUUGUUGAAGGCACUGAGGAAUCUGGAUGGAAGACCGGAUGAAUGGGAAAACUGGCAUAUAGAAAAAAAUCUGAGUACAACUAAGAAACUACCUAAACACAGAUUGAAAUUAAUCAAGGUAUGAAGAAAUUUCCUUACAACAUUCAGCAGCAUGAUGAUGCAAAAAUUGAUGCAUACUGCAGUCCCAGUUGUUGCAACCUGAGAGUUAUUCUUGAUUAAAGCCCAUUUAAAGGCAGCAAAAGUGCUGACAGUCACAACACGAUAUAUAACAAUGCCAAAAACAGCGGCGAUCACCACACAGAUCUAAAGAAAGAGGUGAUAGAAAGAACAUACAGUAUAGCUUACGAGUACAGUAGCUCUCAACAACUAAAUAAUAAAUCCAAGUAAGUAAUCUAUAAA